rnacentral:lncRNA from 1 species
UUCCCUCCCACACUGUGGAAUAGAAACAGCUGAUUAGAUUUUGUACCCUGUCAGCUGAACAUCUUUUUGCUUAUCUAGUUUAGUUCUAAAUGCUCUUUCAGCUCAGAUUCUAGAUGCAAUCAUUUGAAUUUGCAGUAAUAAUCGUGCAGUCUCCAAAUGGCAUAAAGAUUUCCGUUAGAAGAACAGCAACUCUCUGUGCCAAACCCUGGAAAUUCCUGGAAGAAGUCAAUGUUAUGUCUUGUGGGAAACAGACACAUAACAGCAUCCUGAAGCCAGAUUCUGGAAAACCUCAAGAACACUGA